rnacentral:rRNA from 1 species
UACGUAGGGGGCAAGCGUUAUCCGGAUUUACUGGGUGUAAAGGGGGCGCAGACGGCCAUGGCAAGCCCGGUGUGAAAGGCAGGGGCAUAACCCCUGGACUGCACUGGGAACUGUCAGGCUGGAGUGCCGGAGGGGUAAGCGGAAUUCCUGGUGUAGCGGUGAAAUGCGUAGAUAUCAGGAGGAACACCGGCGGCGAAGGCGGCUUACUGGACGGCAACUGACGUUGAGGCCCGAAAGCGUGGGGAGCG